rnacentral:ncRNA from 1 species
CAGAAGGAGUAACUCCCCAAACCCUGACAUCUACGCAAGGGCACAUCGGAGAAGGAGAUCAAGGGCGGAGGAGACUGAGCUAGAGGGCACACUGUGAGAAAUCUUGAGAAUGGUGAGUGGUAGUUCCACCAAUCCCACCUAGAAUUUUUGCAUUGCGAUAUGGUUUUUCCAAGUUGCCUCUAUUAUUAUUUUUCCCUUGUCUACCAAAAAAAAACAUGUUUUGACUCUGUGGAGCUUGGAAAGGUCAAUUUCAAUCUCAUUCAGCCCCCCUCUCUUCCCUGGAUGCAAGAAAAAAAAUAGAACGUACACAUGUCUGUCAUCCAAAAUGAACCCUGCAACCUUCUCCUCCUCACUAUUCUCAUGAUCCAGGUCUGUCCACAUAGGCGUUGUCUACAACAUUCCAUUUUGGCCUACUGGUUCUUGGACAAUGAGGCAUCACAAAAAAUAUGGAGGUUGUCCAUAGCGUUCUCUAUAGAAUAAAAAAAAUAUAGAAGCGUUCUAUAGUGUUCUUCAUAAAAUUCUUGUCCUUAUGAAUAAUAUGAAAGAGUUGUAUGUAUAAUGUUGAUUAACCAACUAUCCAACUCCAUGUUCUGGGAGGGGAAUGCCUUUGAUAAUAUCUUGACCAACCCCAUGAUAAAUGAGAUAAUAUAGGGCCUUUACUGCCAUUUUAAAAAAUACUUUUGUUGUAUGGACCCUAAGUGUCCCAUAUCCUAUGAUUUACACUUGUUGAUAGGAAGGAAGACUGAGGCUUUGCAGAAUGUCUCAGAAGCAUAGAGGAAAAUUUUCUUGAAGUCCAUGGCCUUGAUCAUGCCUAUAUUUGAGGGUCAUUCGAUCAUGUCAUAAGAUUUCCCAAAAAUCAAUCUCAAGGAAGAGGGUGUUGAAAUCAAGGAAACAUUUGAGGGCAUUCCAUAACUUUUUCCCCUUCAAGCAAUAUCACAGACAACAUGCACUCUUUUUCCUCCUCUACAUCAAUCAUGUGAAAAUACCUACAAACUAACAAAUGGAUUUCCAAUGAUUUGUCAAUAAUCCAUUUCUAUAAAAGGGCACAUUCAUCAUUAAACACAUAGAAGUUGGAUAAACCCAACAACCUUCCAUCCAAAGUCAACAAAAUUGAAACCCAUUUUUGAGAGUUGUUGUUGCCUCAUCCUAUAGUUGACGACAACGUUAGGAAAUCCGGAGAUGUCGUCGAGGGACCCGGGAAGAGUUAUAUUUUCUUUUUAACAGCUUGCCCACCCUGAAAUCGGCUUAACCGAAGAUAGGGUCCAACAACUGGAAGAGAAUCGCACAUCUUGCGGUGUCUGGUGUGCCCUCGAUGACCCUUGAAACUAUGGAGGACCAAGUACCAUCCAUGCCCGAUCAUACUCAUAACUGCAUCAGGUCUCCAAGGUGAACAAUUGUUGGUCAAUAGAACAAUGCAGGUAAGGGAAGUUGUCAAAAUGGAUCCGUAACUUCGGGAAAAGGAUUGUCUCUGAGGGUUGGGCCUAGGGGUCUGCGUCCUCAACCCGUGGGUUGUUGGCAGCCUACCAGAGAUGCUAUCAUGGUGAGGGAAGGUAGUCGCAUGCCAAUUGGGCUACAGACGUAGGAUGUCCCCUCACGGGAGAUUUUCCUUAGUUGGCAAACAGUCGACUGAGAACUGGUAGAGACAAGGGGAAUCCGACUGUUUAAUUAAAGAAAAUCAUUGUGAUGGUCCCUGCAAAUGCUGACGCAAUGUGAUUUCUACCCAGUUCUCUGAAUGUCAAAGUGAAUAAAUUCAACCAAGCAUGGGUAAAUGGAUAGAGACUUCAAUUCUUAUAAUCCUUGAGUUUGCAGCGAGGAUCAAGCUCAGGAAGGAUAGAGACUUUUAGAAGUUCAUAGAAAAUAUGAGAUUUUGAAGUCACCUCAUGGAAUCAAGCUUAGAAGGGUGGAUGCCAAGUUAUUUGGCAAGGAAUUAUCGAGAUUCUAAAUGGAUGGUGGAAAUUCCCACAGGGAGAAACACCGAUUUUCAUGGAAUGUUGGAUCUAGU